rnacentral:rRNA from 1 species
ACGCUAGCUACAGGCUUAACACAUGCAAGUCGAGGGGCAGCAUGGUCUUAGCUUGCUAAGGCCGAUGGCGACCGGCGCACGGGUGAGUAACACGUAUCCAACCUGCCGUCUACUCUUGGACAGCCUUCUGAAAGGAAGAUUAAUACAAGAUGGCAUCAUGAGUCCACAUGUUCGCAUGAUUAAAGGUAUUCCGGUAGACGAUGGGGAUGCGUUCCAUUAGAUAGUAGGCGGGGUAACGGCCCACCUAGUCUUCGAUGGAUAGGGGUUCUGAGAGGAAGGUCCCCCACAUUGGAACUGAGACACGGUCCAAACUCCUACGGGAGGCAGCAGUGAGGAAUAUUGGUCAAUGGGCGAGAGCCUGAACCAGCCAAGUAGCGUGAAGGAUGACUGCCCUAUGGGUUGUAAACUUCUUUUAUAAAGGAAUAAAGUCGGGUAUGCAUACCCGUUUGCAUGUACUUUAUGAAUAAGGAUCGGCUAACUCCGUGCCAGCAGCCGCGGUAAUACGGAGGAUCCGAGCGUUAUCCGGAUUUAUUGGGUUUAAAGGGAGCGUAGAUGGAUGUUUAAGUCAGUUGUGAAAGUUUGCGGCUCAACCGUAAAAUUGCAGUUGAUACUGGAUAUCUUGAGUGCAGUUGAGGCAGGCGGAAUUCGUGGUGUAGCGGUGAAAUGCUUAGAUAUCACGAAGAACUCCGAUUGCGAAGGCAGCCUGCUAGGCUGCAACUGACAUUGAGGCUCGAAAGUGUGGGUAUCAAACAGGAUUAGAUACCCUGGUAGUCCACACGGUAAACGAUGAAUACUCGCUGUUUGCGAUAUACUGCAAGCGGCCAAGCGAAAGCGUUAAGUAUUCCACCUGGGGAGUACGCCGGCAACGGUGAAACUCAAAGGAAUUGACGGGGGCCCGCACAAGCGGAGGAACAUGUGGUUUAAUUCGAUGAUACGCGAGGAACCUUACCCGGGCUUAAAUUGCAGAUGAAUUACGGUGAAAGCCGUAAGCCGCAAGGCAUCUGUGAAGGUGCUGCAUGGUUGUCGUCAGCUCGUGCCGUGAGGUGUCGGCUUAAGUGCCAUAACGAGCGCAACCCUUGUUGUCAGUUACUAACAGGUUCUGCUGAGGACUCUGACAAGACUGCCAUCGUAAGAUGUGAGGAAGGUGGGGAUGACGUCAAACCAGCGCGGCCCUUACGUCCGGGGCUACACACGUGUUACAAUGGGGGGUACAGAGGGCCGCUACCACGCGAGUGGAUGCCAAUCCCAAAAACCUCUCUCAGUUCGGACUGGAGUCUGCAACCCGACUCCACGAAGCUGGAUUCGCUAGUAAUCGCGCAUCAGCCACGGCGCGGUGAAUACGUUCCCGGGCCUUGUACACACCGCCCGUCAAGCCAUGGGAGCCGGGGGUACCUGAAGUGCGUAACCGCGAGGAGCGCCCUAGGGUAAAACUGGUGAC